GAUGAACGCUGACAGCAUGCUUAACACAUGCCAGUCUUUGGCGAAGCUGUGCUUGCACAGCCUAGCCAAGGCGGACGGGUGAGUAACGCGUAAGGAACUUGCCCUGCAGUCAGGGAUAACAGACGGAAACGACUGAUAAGACCUGGUAAAGUCAGGCGGACUCAUGUCCAGCCUGAUGAAAAGAGAUGCUGCAGGAGAGCCUUGCGUCCUAUUAGCUUGUUGGUGGGGUGACGGCCCACCAAGGCGAUGAUAGGUAGCCGGCCUGAGAGGGUGGACGGCCACAAGGGGACUGAGAUACGGCCCUUACUCCUACGGGAGGCAGCAGUGGGGAAUAUUGGACAAUGGGGGCAACCCUGAUCCAGCAAUUCUGUGUGCACGAUGAAGGUUUUCGGAUUGUAAAGUGCUUUCAGCAGGGAAGAAAAAAAUGACGGUACCUGCAGAAGAAGCGACGGCUAAAUACGUG
rnacentral:rRNA from 1 species